rnacentral:rRNA from 1 species
AUAUGCCCAGGUGGGAUUAGCUAGUUGGUGAGGUAAAGGCUCACCAAGGCGACGAUCCCUAGCUGGUCUGAGAGGAUGAUCAGCCACACUGGAACUGAGACACGGUCCAGACUCCUACGGGAGGCAGCAGUGGGGAAUAUUGCACAAUGGGCGCAAGCCUGAUGCAGCCAUGCCGCGUGUAUGAAGAAGGCCUUCGGGUUGUAAAGUACUUUCAGUUGUGAGGAAGGUGGUGCCGUUAAUAGCGGUAUCACUUGACGUUAGCAACAGAAGAAGCACCGGCUAACUCCGUG